UGUUAUCGUUAUCUGUUGUUAAUGUGUCCAUUGAUGCUUUUCCACUAUGCUUUUUUGUUUUUUCAUUUUAAACAAUACUUUCCAUAAAACAAUUGCCUUGCACAGUCCCACAGUCAGUUUCUCUGGAAUCAGUCAGAUCAUUACUAGCAGUUGGGUUGUUGGGUCCUAUGGCCUGUCUUUAAAAUAUAAAUUACAGACUGAUGCAUCCUAGUAUAUAUAAUUUCCCAAAUAUUUCUUUACAAAGACCAGUUAUUUUGAAAGAAGCAAUAUUUACAACAGUUACCCAAAAGUCUCAUCCACUAGUCAUUCAAAGCAGCCAUACUUGCCCACUUUGCAAAUCUUUGUGGCUGUGUUAGGACGACUCAGAACUCAGAAACCCCUUUGCCCUUGGUAUAUGCUGUUCCUAGGAUAAACUUUUAGAGUCAAGUCGCAUGAGUGCAUUAUGAUACAACUGUCACUACCACUGGUCCAUUUUUAGCUACAGGUUCCCAAAAAUAAAGAUUCUACAGCCUAUGUGCCCUUAUUUCAAAUCCCAGCCGAAAGACACAGGAACAACACAGCUUUAACUUUUUCAUAACAGAGAAUCUUCUUUUUAGCAAGAAACAGGAGAAAUGGGAAAUGAAACAGCAGAAAGCAUUUCUUCAUUACACACAUAAAAUGGUGGCUUUUGGGGAAAAAUUGUUGGCUCAGCUGUGUGACACGAUGGGGUGCUUGGAGCUUUACGUAUCCUGGCAGGUAACUCUUUCAAAGGUGUUGAAAGUACUUAUGUACAUUCAACUAAUGAAACUUAACUCCUGCCACAGUCAAGACCUAAGAAGGUUUACUCGCAAAUAUUUUUUUAAUCUCGACCAAUGAGUUCUACUUUGUAAUGAUCUCACCUCUCAGCUUCUUCUUCUCUGGACUGGACAACCCCAGUGUCCUCAGCCUCUCUUCCUCUCCAGUGCUGCCACCAGCUUUGUCACAGUCCUCUGGACACUUCCAAGUCCUUUAAUGUUCUUUCAGAAUUUUGGAGCCCAGAAUUGCACUAGGUAUUGGAGCUGAUACGGUAUCCAUGUUGUCUGUAAUGUAGCCCUAGAUGCUGCUGGGGCUCCUGGCCACCAGGGCACGUGGCUGGCUCACGCUGAGCCUGCUGCCACCAGCACUGCCAGGCCCCUUUCUGCAGGGCUGCUCCCCAGCUGCUCAUCUUUAGCUGUGUCCAUCACUACUUCAGCCCAUGUUAAUUCUUAAAUUACUGAGGCAAAAUCCUUUAUAUUUGAAAAUCACCAGUUGUUUCCUUCAGUUAAAAUGUUUGAUGCUGUAUUAUGUGACAUUUAUUUUAUUUGAAAUGAUCUUCAAUGUACUGAAUAAACGUCAUUGUAAGCAUCUAUUACCAGUGCAAAUAUUUAAACAAACAAGAACUUUCUCUUCUCACAAAACAACGGGUUCCAAGAACUCCCAUCUUUCCCAAAUCACACUUCCGAUGAUUGAAACUAUCUAAUUUGGACAAAAGAGCAAUAGAAAAUUAACUUAAGAACACAUUCGGUUUAACAUAUGUUUGCAAUAAAACUUCUGUUUUAGAUGAUUUAAUCAGAACUGUUUUCCAUACUUAAUGGAAACUGGCACACUAGCAUUAUCAUUGCAACCACUAAAGUAAGGGAGGGAAUGGAAGGAUUGGGAGUGGAAGGAAAGCAAGAAUUUUAAUAUUCUCUAGUUUAACAGUACCAGGAGAAAUAAAAUCCCUGUUCUCAGCUCCAGUCACACACCUUGGUGUGAUCACCAAUACAUUUUCACAAGGGGAGACUUGCAAUUAUGUUUUCUUUAACUUGUUUCAUUCUUACUGUGUUCCCAAAGUCUAGCUUACAGUGUUCUACAUAUCUCCUAGUGACAGCACACAGGGCAAAGAGAAAUCAAGGGCUGUCACUGGCUUUGUUUUUCUUCCACAGGAUUUUCCAAUUAGCAGCCUUAGUUACUGAAUGUGUUCCUCAGAAAUUCUUCCAAACAUCAUGGAAGGAAGGCUGAUGGAGCAUCAUGGCGCAGCAACCACCAAUGGUGACACUGAGCAGAAAUUUCUAGGAUGAAAAUUCAUUUAUUUUGAUAUCUUCUGAUGUCACCAGGGAAGGUUUCUCCUUCUAUCCCUUAGCUCUGGAUCCCCGCUCCAACCUGCAAGCUCUUUGUUCACUAAGACAAUGACUGUAAAAGCUUGCCAGGCAUAGUUUUUUUUUACACAUAAGCUUUAUUCUAAUGCUUCAUAUCAUCUAUUCCUGCUCCAGUUUCAUUAUCUUCCAAGUUCAUCACCUUGUCUUAAGACCUUUGCAGUGUUUCAGCAAUUCAUUGGGUAGCAGAUUGAGAGCUGGGAAAAAUCAGACUUGCUUAUCAGUAAGAACAAAUCCUGCAUGCUCUCCUUGCUGCUGGCCUCUAGAGAGAAGAGGAAUUAUACUAGAAUUUAAGUGAUGGAGAGCACUGAUAAGAUUAAAUCUUUUCCAGAAGGAGGACACUCAGGAGAAAAAUGCUUACAAG